AACGAACGCUGGCGGCAUGCCUAACACAUGCAAGUCGAACGAGACCUUCGGGUCUAGUGGCGCACGGGUGCGUAACGCGUGGGAACCUGCCCUUAGGUUCGGAAUAACUCUCCGAAAGGGGUGCUAAUACCGGAUAAUGUCUUCGGACCAAAGAUUGAUCGCCUUUGGAUGAGCCCGCGUUGGUUUAGCUUGUUGGUAGGGUAAAAGCCUACCAAGGCGACGAUCCAUAGCUGGUCUGAGAGGAUGAUCAGCCACACUGGGACUGAGACACGGCCCAGACUACUACGGGAGGCAGCAGUGGGGAAUAUUGGAAAAUGGGCGAAAUGCUGAUCCAGCAAUGCCGCGUGAGUGAUGAAGGCGUUAGGGUUGUAAAGCUCUUCUACCCGGGAUGAUAAUGACAGUACCGGGAGAAUAAGCUCCGGCUAACUCCGUG
rnacentral:rRNA from 1 species